GCCUUCCUCCCAGCGAGGGAAGACAAAUGGCAAACCCAAAUGUUAGGCUCCGGGCACGGGGAGCUGGUGGCAGGAUUCCUGGGCUGGGAACGUGGCCGGAGCGUGCGAGGAGGCUGUGCUGGCCCUCCUCGUCCGCAGGAGGCACCGCUCGCUGACACCCAGCCACGGCUCUCCUCGCUCAGCGUUUGGCACCGAGGCCAGGCGGUGGCUGGAGGUGCCGGGCGCCUGCUCAGCUGGGUUAUUUGGGCAGGGUAACAAAUGCUGUGCCGCUCAUACCGUUACUGGCUGAUUUACAGCUAACUGCCAAGCGCGCGGGCUCCAAGAGCUGAGGAUGUGGUUUGGUCGUAGCAGUUCCUCCUCGCGCAGUCAGCCCGAGAUUCACGCCAUCACUUAAAAUAAACUUGCCUUUAAAAGCUCCUUUAUUCUCUCGCCCACUUUAAACAGUGUCCUGGGGGAAGGAAGAUGCUGCCGAUAAGACCUUUUUCCCACUCUUCCCACAGGAUGCCAUUUCUACCUACAAGGAAAUCCUGCAGGUGUACUGGGAGACAGCAACGGGCUUCGUGAACGCCUGCUGCGAUGGACUGGAGCCCUGGCAGUUAGUUGGGUUGACCUGUUCUUCUACGCUUCUAGCCGUCUGGCUGCAUGGCUUCCUCUUCCAGCCCGAGAGUUUAACGUCCCGAAUUAAAAAACAGUUCUUCAAACUACUGAGAAGAAUGCCGUUUGUUGGGGCUAUAAUUCAAAAGAAGAUUGAUGAGGCCUUGAAUGAUGUCACUUCCAGUUUAUCCUUCCUGAAAGAUGAAAAAGCUUACAUCAAAGCGCUGCCGGAACAAGGCAUGAGCCAGCCUGAAGUACUACAGAAGAUGAAAGAGUACAG